CCGGAAGCCCGGGCGGGCCGUCGCUGCGUCACGCUGCUCGCCCGCGGGCGCCCGCCCUUGCGCGCACGUCUUGGCGCCGGGUUGCCAGCGGUGUCCGGCUAGCAGGGACCGCCGCGGGGGGUGCAACCGUCGUCCUGAGCCGUCCGCCGCGUCCCGGGUGAGCGGGCAUGCAUGGCUUCGUCCUUGGGGAGAGCGUCGCGCUCCGGCAGGAUCGACCGGAUGA
rnacentral:rRNA from 1 species